AUUGAACGCUGGCGGCAUGCUUUACACAUGCAAGUCGAACGGUAACUGGCCUUCGGGUGCUGACGAGUGGCGUACGGGUGAGUAAUGCAUCGUUACGUUCCCAGAGGUUGGGGAUAACGCAGCGUAAGCUGUGCUAAUACCGCCUGUGAUCUGAGUAUGCACGCGUGGGACCGGGCGGCAAUGUUUGGCCUCGCGCCUUUGUAGCGGCCUAUGUCAGAUUAGGUAGUUGGCGGGGUAAAGGCCUACCUAGCCGACGAUCUGUAGCUGGUAUGAGAGGACGAACAGACAGACGGGGACUGAGAAACGGCAGAGACUCCGACGGGAGGCAGCAGUGGGGAAUGUUGGACGAGGGGGGAGAGGGUGAUACAGCAAAGCCGGGGGCGGGAAGAAGGAGUUAGGGUGGGAGAGCGAUGAUGGACGGAGCGAAAAGAAGCUGGCUAAUACGGGAGGAUGAUGACGGUACCGGAAGAAUAAGCACCGGCUAACUACGUG
rnacentral:rRNA from 1 species